UGAGGAAUUUUCCGCAAUGGGCGAAAGCCUGACGGAGCAAUACCGCGUGAGGGAUGAAGGAUUUUGGUCUGUAAACCUCUUUUCUCAAGAAAGAAGUUCUGACGGUACUUGAGGAAUAAGCAUCGGCUAACUCCGUGCCAGCAGCCGCGGUAAUACGGGGGAUGCAAGCGUUAUCCGGAAUCAUUGGGCGUAAAGCGCCUGUAGGUUGUUUAAUAAGUCUGUUGUUAAAGACUAGGGCUCAACCCUAGGAAAGCAAUGGAAACUACUAGACUUGAGUAUGAUAGGGGUAGAGGGAAUUUCUAGUGUAGCGGUGAAAUGCGUAGAUAUUAGGAAGAACACCGGUGGCGAAG
rnacentral:rRNA from 1 species